AUCCUAUGCGGUGGAUCACUCGGCUCGUGGAUCGAUGAAGAACGCAGCAAACUGCGCGUCGAA
rnacentral:rRNA from 1 species